CACUAAAGGGAGUGGAUCCAAAUUCAUGGUGACUUUGGGGAAAUAUUUUUCUCCCCUCAAUCCCCACGUUCCAGCCCUCCCCACAUUCCUCUUCUUUUCCUUCCUUUUCUUCAUUUUCUUUCUAUCCCCUUUUUCCCUUGCAGCACGAUCUCUCCCCCUCUUCUUCUUUUCUUCCAUUCUCUUUCCCCUGUUCUGUCGCCCAGCCCUACUUUCCCUCUCCUCUCUUCCUCAUUUCUCCUCUCUUCCAUCACACCGACACAACCCGAGUGAAACCCAGCAUGCGAGAUCAUCGCCGAGAGUAAGAGAGACCCGAUCCUUCCGGACAAGACGACGCCGGCGGAGCUGAGGGCGUGAUUUCCGGUGGGUGACGCCGGUGAAGCGAAUAGGAGCCAAUUUCCGGUGAUUUUGGGAUGAUUUCCGGCGUCCGGGUAGAGGAUCAUUCCUUGAUGAAUUUCCGGAUCGUGUCCGGAUUUGAGGCUUUAAUUGGUUCUCCAAUGUAGAGUCCAAGUGACUAGAGUCCAAGAGAGUGCUUGAGUCAAGAGUCCAAUGCAGCCAAGGUGAGUAUUCUACUCACUGAGAAAUUAUAUUUUUUUAUGUAUUAUGGAUUUGUAAAAUGUAUAUUGUUUUAUGAAUCUGAACUAACUAUAUGAUGAAAGAUAUGUUUU